rnacentral:lncRNA from 1 species
GACAACAAUUACAAGUGCCGUUACAUUAAUCGUGACGUGAUUCUUACGAGUCCUAAAGUUACACGAUUAUCCUCAUCUCAUCUUACUCGAGCUGAUCGAGGCUACCAAAAAUGUAAAAAAAUUAAUACUCCGCCCGGAGACUCGCUCGCCUUUCUCCUAUUUUGCUUCGACCUCCUCGACCGAACGUAUUCCAGGGUAUUUCAACCUAAAGCCGCUUUCAAAACAGAUGACUCACGGAUCAUACUCCGGUGUGUACUGUGUACUCCGUAUGAAAAUAUUUCUACGCGCGGAAUUCUCAUUCCUAUAAAUCAUCACGCCAGGCUCACGGGUACACGGAGCGGGCGAGUUAUAAAUCUCGACGUCAAACGACGACCCGACGAGGCGGAUGCGAAGAGGGCGACGCUCGUGCGACGUUACGUACCAUACCCGUGUGUCCCGACAACGCUCGACGAGUCGACGGGUCGUCGUCAGUUUGCGCACGUGGUGGACACAGGUAGGUGGCGAGCGGCGAUUCCUCCUCCUCCUCCUCCUCCCCCCUCCCCUUCGACGAAACUCCACGUUUGACAGACGGAGUUAACCCCAAAACCGACGCGUGAUUCGCAUUUAAUAUUUGACGCAAUCGGACCGAGGAUCCCGGCCUCACACGAACACAAUGUGUCGGUGUCUUGGGAGUGACGCGAGCACCUGGGUCGGCCACCUGGAAUGCUUUAUUGAAAAAGUGUUCAUCGGGUUGGCGCGGCGGCGGGGAUCACGGAGAAACGUGUGUAGUGUGUGCGUGUAUGUGCGUGUGUGUGUUGUGUGUGUGUGUUGUCACGUAGGAGAAAACGGGCGCGACUUUUAAGCCCGUAACUCCCGUGACGCCCAUCUGGAUGCGCUCCCGUCGCCUUCGCGAGCAACUCGGGGUCUUAUCUCUCGAGACGAUUUACGGAGUACCGAUGUCGGGAAGAGAUCUACGCGAUGGAUCGAGACCGACAAUAUAUUUCAUUUUAAAUGUAAAAAUUAACGUUAAAAAAUUAAUUCGUUACGCAACUACAUUAGAAUUUAUAGUUUAACGUUCUUAAAAGUUUUUAACAUUUUGAUGUGUGUAUUAUUUGUAAAGAUAUUUUUUGUAUUUAUUUUAUGAACAAUACGGCAACAGUUUCAGUUAUAUAGGUCGCUUAAGAUUAAAAUAACUUUCAUUAAUUAAUUCGUUUUAAUAAUCAAACAUUUGAAAAAAGUUGUAAAUAUCGAGCAGUCGAUAUUAUAAUUUUAAUAUGAAAAUUAUUAUUAUAUAUAUUCAAUAAUCUCAUUGUAAAUUUUAGAAAAACAUUUAAAAUGUUUAUGUAUAAGUAAUUAAGGUCGGCAUAAUUACAUGUUUGUUAAUGUAUGUUAAUGUACGUUAGUAUACAUAUACAUGUAUUUUUAAUGUAUAUUAUUACAUGUUCAGUAUACUAAGUAACAAUCUACUAAAAGCUAAUCUACAAUGUGCUUCUUGUUUUCUGUUUUUUUUUUACUUUUUGCUUAUUAUACUUUUGCCUUUCCUCAUACAUGUUUUAUCAAAAGAGGUGAGAUAGAAAGAAUACAAAUUCCGAAAGAGAUGAGAGACAUGUGACAAGAAACAUAAUUUGCCGAUAGGAGGCGAAAAGCAAAAAAUAGAAAACAAAGAGAAUAUUAUAAAUUAUACUUUAUCAUAAUUUUAAGGAAUAAUUAAAGAGAAUUUAAAAAGCUAUUAUGGGAAAAUCAUUAAAUUACUUUAAUGUCAACGAAUAUUGUAAAAUACGAAGAUCUUACAAAUAAGUAAAUGUCAAAUUUUAAUGAUAAUAAUUUACAAUUUAUAAUUGAGAGUAAAUCCAUAAUCCACAAAGGGGGUUAAGAGUUCGUCGGAUAUCGAUAACUUCACUUAUCUACGUACGGGGGAAAAAAAAACUUAUGUUGCGCAUGUGAAGUUUCACCAAUAAUCGACAUCUUCACGGGAUAAUUUAAAAUUAUCGGGUAUCCACGCUCGCGCCGACUGCGCAAAUACGGAUCGAACGAUGAAAAUAUCGGGGAGAGAAUAAAAAGGUGGUACUCGUACGUCUAUCUACAUACAGAUUAUCAUUGUCGAUAAGCGAGUUGCUUUGAGUGCCAAUCGAUUAGUAAUGACAAACCAAUACCACGCCAAGAGAUUCCUUACGACAUUUCGUUUCGCGGAAAAGUUAUCUGACUGCCGAGCACCUUCGGGGAUGGUAGAACAAAAUUCGAGAAGACAUAUUAGACGUCCGUGCGCGUCAUAAAUAGAUUUUCGGACACGAAAAUGGGAUCAAGAGAUACAAAAUGGCAGAUACGAGAAAUAAAACAUUUUCGAAUUCCGAAUUGUGCGCGACAGCGGCUUUUUGACGGUGAAUAUGAAAAUAGUGCCCAAUCAUAAAAAAAUCUGAAAUGAUAAAUCACCGUUAGAGAAAAACAAAGUAUCUCUGAAUUCCAACAAAAUUAUAUAGAAACGUUAUAUUUACGAAAUAAAAAUUUAUAAAAUAAAAUAAAAAAUACAAUGAACUAUACGUAUAAAAAUUACGUAGUAAGAGCCAAAAGUUUUCCUUAAAUAAUCACUAUUGCAAUUCUAACUAAUGCAAAACUGCUAUGUUCCUUUACUAUGGUAAUAUAAAUAUUUCAUUUAUACGUUAUGAAUUUAUUCCACGGUAUAAAUAUCAUCAGAAAUUUAUAAUAUUCGAGCAUUUGAAUAAUCAUCACGCGAAAUUUACAAUACAUAAUACAUAUAAUACAUAUAACGUUUUAUUCCAAACCUUUGUUAUAACUCAUCUGAGAUAACGAAUUAAAUAACUUGUUAUACUUCAUGUAUAUUAUAAUAGUGAUUUUUAUAACACACACGCAGUACAAUAUCAAUUACGUGCUAAGAAAAGCGAUCACUCAAGUUUCCUUCUUUUAAGUAAUGUUUAUCUCUACAAAGAAUAUUUUCUUGAUAAUAAUAUUAAAAUAGACACAUUCAUCGUUUACUUGAAACAAAUAAUAUUUAAAAUAAACUUAUGUGUGCACACGGAAAAAUACUGUAAAUCACUUGAACCAAGUAUAAAUAUUACUUAUUUCAAAUAUUUCAUGAGUUUAUCACAAGCAUCCAAUUGAUUUGAAAUAUAUACUGAAUCUCAGUAAUUUUUAAUAUUCCAAUCGAGAAUACCAAGUUAAAAGAAAAAAUUUGAUUUACUUCUGACUUUUCCUCGAUAAAAUUUUACGAUAUUCCUUGAAAGAGUAUAAAUUCUUUUUGAGUACACGGUAACGAGUUUCCCUGAAACUUAUGUCGAAUAUAUUUUAAGACAAUCAAGGAAGUAUUCUUUGUUAAAGAGAACCGUUACUCACCGAAAGAAAAAGAGUAAAUUAAAUCGUUUUUUUUUUUUCUUAGCAGUAGAAUUCACAUAUUUUUCUGUGUGUACUAUACAGUGUUCAGACAAUUGUCUUUAAUUAAAUUCAACCUAGUGGCACAACAUUUACCGCAGAUGCGACUCUCUCGGUUUGAAGCCGAUUCCCUCGGUAAGAAACUGGCG